rnacentral:rRNA from 1 species
CUUUCUUUGCUGGCGACCGCGCACGGGUGAGUAACACGUAUCCAACCUGCCCUUUACUCGGGGAUAGCCUUUCGAAAGAAAGAUUAAUACCCGAUAGCAUAAUGAUUCCGCAUGGUUUCAUUAUUAAAGGAUUCCGGUAAAGGAUGGGGAUGCGUUCCAUUAGGUUGUUGGUGAGGUAACGGCCCACCAAGCCUUCGAUGGAUAGGGGUUCUGAGAGGAAGGUCCCCCACAUUGGAACUGAGACACGGUCCAA